rnacentral:misc_RNA from 1 species
CUAGACCUAGCUUCUGGUGAGGCUCCUCUAUAAAUGGAUAAGAUUAUUUGUCUUAAAGUAUACUAGUUAAAGUAAAAGAGCAAUAUCAACAAAGUUGAUAUUGCUCUUUUACUUUAACUAGUAUACUUUUUUUUUACAUCAUUAUACAUAAUGAAUACAUAAUGAUUUACUUCMAUAUGCUUUAGCWUUCUUUAUUUGAAAAUAAGAGAUUCAAAAAAUUGUAGUUUUAUACUUUUUUUUUUAUUUAGUAAUUUCGAUUUUCUUUCUUUUUUUUAUAAAUCUUUUUGAUAUUUUUGUCAUAUGUAAUACAUAUGACUGCACAAUGUAAAAAGCAAAAGAUUUCUUUUUUAUUAUCUUCUCUUAUUGUUAAUCUCUUAUUAUUAAUAUGUAUUAAAAUACAAGUAAAAACUUAUAAGGUAUAAGAAAAGGGAAUGAUAAUAAAAAAAGACUAUAAAUUGAAGUCUS